AGACGAAGCACCACCACCACAUUGUUGAUGGUAUGCAUAACAGGAGUCAUACAGGAGGAAUGGCACGAUCCAUGACGAUCUCGUUAGGAUUCAAAUGAAAUAUGAGUGCACGCGAGCGCAUACACGUGCAUACACGCCUUGCGCGGGAGCAUACUCCCGCGAUGGGAUUCAAAAGGAUUGACCGUGGCGCACGCAAUCAACCACCACUCGUGCCACCACGAACUGACACACGUACAGUACGUCGUCGUCUGCGCACGUGAGCGAAGAUAUAUCGGGCACGAGAGAACCGCGAGAAAGGAUACACCCCUAACGAGGAGUACUUCACCGCGAAAGAAGCGCGGAUUUUCGACGGAAGGGGCUGCGGUUAAUUCAGUCGAAUCCAGUUACCCAGCGAACGAGAAUUGAAUUUAAAUGAAUUGUUGAAAAUUGCAUUUCACUUUAAUUUAUUUUAAUGUAUCUGAGUUCGCGCUUUAGAGGAACAUUUUUCGAUUCAAAAUAUUCAAAUGAACUCAAAUGGUUUGAAAUUCGCGCUAUUCAUUUCGAAUUCGAAUGGAUUCACGUUUCCAUUAAAUUAUCUUUGAAUUCUAAUGAAUUGAAAUACAAAAUGAGCUAUUCAUUAUUCAUCGUGUUAAAUUCAUAUCCAUAUUGCAGUAAUUUUGGAUUUAAAUGGAUUUGAAAAAUUAAAGGUGCAAAUUCGAAAAUGUCGAAAUGAAAUGAUUUCUAUCAAUUUCAAUUCAUUUUCGUUUGCUGGAUAUAGACACUCGCUCGUAUGACACGCGGCUUACAAAGACAUUUUAUUACAGCACCUCAACUGCAAGCAAAAGACACUCUCAAGAGAAAUUUAAGACACCGUUAAAAAAGAGGUCUUGGCCUAUUCGGAGCUCUGGGAAAGAGCUUUAAGCCAAUUAAC
rnacentral:lncRNA from 13 species